UUUAAAAAAUAAGGGCAGAUUACACUUCCUUCCCUCAGUAAAUCCUAAAUUUUGAGACUUCCUAAUCAGGUAACAAUUGAGUGGGUUAUUAGAGCAGUACUUAUUCUCCUCUGUGUAAUGCAUGAAGCUCUUUUUGUUUCAAAUCCUCCAACAGAUCUCUUAUAAAGAGAUGAAAACAUAGGGAACAAAAAUAAAUAUGAGUAGGCAAAAGUUAUCUCUUAUUGUGGCAUUUGUGGCAAAAAUGCGUGGAGAGGGUUUUUAGAGAAAGACAUAACGUGAAAAAGUUUUGCAUUUGAAUAUGGGAACGUCUGUAGAAAUACAGUGAACAAUAGCUGCUGUUCCUCUGCAGAAGGGGCUUAAUGACUGUUGUCUCCGUCCUGUAAGCGUGAUCCUUAAAAGCUCAACUAAAACCUAAAACCCACAGGAACUACGAGUCGCUGGAAUUCAUCGAACUUGGACAGCUGCCUUUUGGGCAACGGGUGUUUCCAUCUGACGGAGUUAGAGGUUGUUAUUCCAAACCAUUCCAAAGCUCCAAACCAGCCCCGCUGGUAACGUGCAGGGAUCUGCCACCAGGCACCUGAACACAGCGUCGGGGCGUUCAGCUUGGGGCCAGUACAGACAGACCCGAGGCACAACACACGUCGGGACUGCACCCCGGGAAAUGACGCCCCUUUCACCAAAGGGUUCCUUCUCAUCAUGACCUCGCUUUUACCCAGAGAAGCUGAGAGAAGAACAAGAGUCCACAGAGCUCAAUUUCAGCUGGUAGUUCUUUAGAACUACUUCCUAGUUUGUGCACACUGAUAAGAAAAUUCAUACUUUGUCUACACGGCAUUAUCCUACGUUUGAAGCUGACGUGUCUCUUCUGUUCAGCUCUUGAGCCAAGGAAGAGAGGUCAAGUUCUCAUGCCUGCUUUCCUAAGUCACCCUCCAGCCACAUCCCGCCAGCGCACGCUGCAUGCAGUCAGUACUCCUGCUGGAAUCCGAGCACCAAGGGGUGAGGAGAACACCGCUGGAGUAAAAGGCAAGGCAGCAGCAUUCAGGAAACAGAAUUAAGGUCAAGAGAGUGCAAUAGUGAUGUUUUCCUGUCUGUGGAAGUUACAUUUGAUAUAGGAAAGGACAAAAGCUAAUCUACUUCAUCACGAAGAACGUGAACCAGGU